AGCAAUGGCUCGAUGGAGUUCACCAGGGAGGAUCUUGCUCUGAUCUAAAUAUACAGUGGAAAUCUGAUGUGAUCUAGGCUGCUGCACCUCAUCUACUAAAACCAAAUCCUGGAAAAGAUUUCUAUGAGAUGGUUUCUGUCAUUCUUCCUAAACUGGGAGCUAAGUGAUUAAUAUAGAGGAAAACUCACAGAUAAACAUAUCUCUGCAAAUGCAAAUAAGUACUAAAGUGCUGGUAACCAACAUCCCCACCCUGGUUCCUCUUAGCACUUCAGUCAAAGGCACACUUCGAACAGAAGAAUCUGAACCACAAAUUUAGCCAGUCUCUACUACCUUCAGAAAGGCUUCCAGAAGUCAUUUUCCUCCCAGACCUCCUAGAUUUCUAAUUUCUCUAUUCCUGCUAGGAGGGACACUACUACCCAAUCUAGGAGUAUCUUGGAAGAUUCAAGUGGGAAACCAUUCAGAUCUGUCUCUUCCCCUCAUCGCAUCAACAUUUUAAUCUGUCUCUACACAACGCAGGAUUCACAAGGGAAGUCUCAAAUCCCAUAGCGUUGCUUACAAGCAGCGUGACAACAAGGAUGAAGCCAGAGAGGCACCUAUGGUACAAAAUUUUAAAAGCAUGAAUUUCCCUCAACCUUAAGAAGAGAUGGAAUGUUCAUAAUGAGGAAGAAGUCUUCUGAUUUUCUAAAUAGGUAAUCACAACACAGAAGAGUGAAGAAGGACACAGGCUCUUAGCCACCAUGGCCUAAAACUGUCCCACACCUCUUCAACUCACAUCCUACUGUCCACAACCAGUCAUCAGUCAUGUGCAACGUUCACACAUAAAAGCCCUGGAAAAUGAAGGCCAGUGAUUUGCCUAGGAAAAGUAGAUGAAGAGAGCAGACUGGCCUUACCUUUGAAUAACCCUAAGCAAGUUAUCAACCUGUCUUAACCUACUUCUUCUUCUAAAAGAUGGGAAUAACAACACCAGCAUCCUUCUAGUGUGUGAAAGUUCAAACAAAAUGAAGCAAAAUCUUCACAGAG
rnacentral:lncRNA from 1 species